rnacentral:rRNA from 1 species
AUCGAUCGUGCAACGAGUGGUGAUGCGUACAUACAUGAAUCGUGAACUCAUGUUCUAGUCAUCCUGACAGACUUCCUCUGUAUUUUACGGCACUCGCCGAAUAGCAUGACCGAGCUAUUCGCUGGAUGGAUUGAUGGAUGUUCUUCUGAUUCGUUAUAAUCUUGUGUUAUCAAGGCAAGAUCUAAAUGUGUAAGUAACUGUGAACAUCCUUGACGCUACCUGAUCAGUAAUGCCACGCUAACUACGUGCCAGCAUGCCGCGGUAAUACGUAGGUGGCAAGCGUUAUCCUGGAAUUAUUGGGCGUAAAGCGCGCGUAGGCGGUUUUUUUAAGUCUGAUGUGAAAGCCCACGGCUCAACCGUGGAGGGUCAUUCGAAACUGGAAAACUCGAGUGCAGAAGAGGAAAGUGGAAUUCCAUGUGUAGCGGUGAAAUGCGCAGAGAUAUGGAGGAACACCAGUGGCGAAGGCGACUUUCUGGUCUGUAACUGACGCUGAUGUGCGAAAGCGUGGGGAUCAAACAGGAUUAGAUACCCUGGUAGUCCACGCCGUAAACGAUGAGUGCUAAGUGUUAGGGGGUUUCCGCCCCUUAGUGCUGCAGCUAACGCAUUAAGCACUCCGCCUGGGGAGUACGACCGCAAGGUUGAAACUCAAAGGAAUUGACGGGGACCCGCACAAGCGGUGGAGCAUGUGGUUUAAUUCGAAGCAACGCGAAGAACCUUACCAAAUCUUGACAUCCUUUGACCGCUCUAGAGAUAGAGUCUUCCCCUUCGGGGGACAAAGUGACAGGUGGUGCAUGGUUGUCGUCAGCUCGUGUCGUGAGAUGUUGGGUUAAGUCCCGCAACGAGCGCAACCCUUAAGCUUAGUUGCCAUCAUUAAGUUGGGCACUCUAAGUUGACUGCCGGUGACAAACCGGAGGAAGGUGGGGAUGACGUCAAAUCAUCAUGCCCCUUAUGAUUUGGGCUACACACGUGCUACAAUGGACAAUACAAAGGGCAGCUAAACCGCGAGGUCAAGCAAAUCCCAUAAAGUUGUUCUCAGUUCGGAUUGUAGUCUGCAACUCGACUACAUGAAGCUGGAAUCGCUAGUAAUCGUAGAUCAGCAUGCUACGGUGAAUACGUUCCCGGGUCUUGUACACACCGCCCGUCACACCACGAGAGUUUGUAACACCCGAAGCCGGUGGAGUAACCAUUUAUGGAGCUAGCCGUCGAAGGUGGGACAAAUGAUUGGGGUGAAGUCGUAACAAGAGACGACCCC